rnacentral:rRNA from 1 species
AUCCGUGAAAGACCACCAGUGGCGAAGGCGGUCCACCAGAACGCGCUCGACGUGAGGGAUGAAAGCUGGGGGAGCGAACCGGAUUAGAUACCCGGGUAGUCCCAGCNGUAAACGAUGCGAGCUAGAUGAUACAAUCGCAAAUCGCGAUGGAGUGUCGCAGGGAAGCCGUAAGCUCGCCGCUGGGGAGUACGGUCGCAAGACUGAAACUAAAAGGAAUGGGCGGGGGAGCACCACAAGGGGUGAAGCCUGCGGUUCAAUGGGAGUCAACGCCAGGAAACUUACCAGGAGAGACAGCAGGUUGAGGGUCAGACUGAAGAUCUUACCUGACGAGCUGAGAGGAGGUGCAUGGCCGUCGCCAGCUCGUGCCGUGAGGCGUCCUGUUAAGUCAGGCAACGAGCGAGACCCCCACUGGUAAUUGCUAUCUCUUAUCGUAAGAUCUGAGAGGCUAGUUACCGGGACUGCCGCUGCUAAAGCGGAGGAAGGAGGGGGCCACGGCAGGUCAGUAUGCCCCGAAACUCCUGGGCCACACGCGGGCUGCAAUGGUAGGGACAAUGGGUCCCGACCUCGAAAGAGGAAGGCAAUCCUCAAACCCUACCUCAGUUGUGAUUGAGGGCUGAAACCCGACCUCAUGAAUAUGGAAUCCCUAGUAACCGCGUGUCAUCACCGCGCGGUGAAUACGUCCCUGCUCCUUGCACACACCGCCCGUCGCUUCACCCGAGUUUGGUUUAGACGAGGCCGUCUCAUGUUGGGACGAUCGAAUCUAAGCUAGGCAAGGGGGGAGAAGUCGUAACAAGGUAACC